AACAAACAAAUGAACAACUGAAACAAGAAAUAAGACCUCCUUUUAGCAUGUUACUCAGCAACCUAUUAGUUGCUAAGCUAUUGCUAGACACCUUGAAAAAAGGGUGCAAGAUAAAAAAAAAUGGUGUGGCUAAUAGUAUACUCAGUACAUAGCGCUUAGCCCAUUAUGAAGUUCAUUAGGAGCCAUGCUUUUUGAUGAUUUAAAUAUCUCCUUCUGAAAUCAAUCACACUAGACACAUCUGAAGAAAUAAGACAAGGCAUUUGUGCUGCAGACAACCAGCCAAAAUGAUGAAGUUUCCAGCCACAGGAGGAGGAUGAUCUGAUGCACUACAUUUAUAAUCAGGAGUUCACAGUUAAAAUCCUACUUCAGACAAAACUGGACAGCAUGUUCUGGGCAAGUUUUCGACUUUGAUGGAUUUUUCACAUUCUUCUACAAAGGUAUUGGGGAUUUUUGUUAUGUCUUAGCAAAGUGUUUACAUUCUUCAGCUCACAGCAGCAGUCCCCAUGUCCAUCCACCAGAUGAAAACACAACAUGCGCCCCUGCUCUCACACACAGAAGAGGCAGGGCUUCCAGGGAAGCUGUUAACCUGCUUCAGGGAGGGUGAAGGCAGAGGAAGACAAGGAAAAUACAUGCAGUCACUGGUGGAUCUACCUCUAAGCCAGAGGAUUCUCCUAAACUCACAAGAUUGUAGCAGAGUCUCAAAGGAUAUGCUGAUCCACUGGAUGGCUGUGACUACUGCAGCAGCUUCGCUACACAGACUCUUUCUUCCUCCCUCAGGCUGCCUUGGUCUGAAUGUAUCACAGUGUCACAGGUGAAUUAAAAGGAGCGUUCUCUCCAGUUUCUUAUGCAAUGUAUGCCAUUCCAAUAGGAAAGUGGGAAAUCAUUAGUUUAUAUCCUUUACUAUCUAGGGCAGGCAGGUGUAUGAAUUACGUUUUCCAACUUAAUGACUCAAAAUCAGAUUUUCUCUUCAACAUUGAAAACUAUAUUGUAAAGUCUCUACUAGUUUACAAAUUUGCAGUGUCUCCUGCUGCAGAGAAAAAGUGUGCAUGUCGUACAUCUUUCAAUGCCAUCUACUGCAGCCACACUGAAAAUACUGCGCAUAAAGUUUUCUGCCUUAUAGCAAGAACGUGCUGCUUAUAAUCCUCUUAUUGACUAAAGCAGAUGGAAUCAUUUUCAGUGUCUCUAUCCAAAAAGCAUAAAAGAUUUAAGUCUAAAAGCUGAACAUCCGAGCAUAAAUUACAGUCAGUUGAGAAAACGAAGUCAACUCAAAUUGGCUUUAGAAUUUCCUGUGCAGCCUUAAUGGAGUGCCUGACAAGGCCUCAUCAACCAAUUUAUGCAUAGGAUCACACUCAUUUCCAUUAAUCAUAAAUAAAUAUGUAUCAUACAGUGUCCCUGUGUGCACAGUUCUAUACUGAAACAGACUCGGGAUCUUUCGCUCUCAAAGAAUGACAAGAAAUGGCCUAGAAGAAAGACUGAGUGCUGCUGUAUGCAUGUGGGUGAGUGCAACAAAUGCCCCUCGGGGUUGCCACUACAGGGGGACAGUGCCCCAGGGCUCUGCACUUGCUAGGAACAGCGCCUGCU